GAUCAAGAGCGUCAGCUACAUCUGCCCCGGCACGCUGACCGGCAACCGUGUCUCGCACAACGGUGCUCCCCGAGGGAAGAUCGGUCCGCGCGCUGCCCGAGCGGCUUCUCGCGCGCGGGAAACUUGCGAC
rnacentral:ncRNA from 1 species